rnacentral:rRNA from 1 species
AUUGAACGCUGGCGGCAUGCCUAACACAUGCAAGUCGAGCGAGCGGCGGACGGGUGAGUAAUGUGUGGGAAACUGCCUGAUGAGGGGGGGUAACUAUUGGAAACGGUGGCCAAUACCGCAUACCAUCAGAUGUGCCCAGAGGGGAUUAGCUAGUGGGGGGGGUAACGGCUUAACUAGGCGACGAUCCCUAGCUGGUCUGAGAGGCUGACCAGCCACACUGGAACUGAGACACGGUCCAGACUCCUACGGGAGGAAGCAGUGGGGAAUAUUGCACAAUGGGCGAAAGCCUGAUGCAGCCACGCCGCGUGUGUGAAGAAGGCCUUCGGGUUGUAAAGCACUUUCAUCGGGGAGGCGUUACCCACAGAGAAAGCACCGGCUAACUCCGUGCCAGCAGCCGCGGUAAUAC